rnacentral:lncRNA from 1 species
GGUUCACUCAUCGCCUCACGGUCUUUCGAACAUUCGGGCUUAUCAUGAUUAGUGCUAGACAAAGAAAGAUUUGGUUUAGGAAUCGACUCCUCAUUUUCAUUCACGUGCUCACCUACUUUGUUAUCUACUUGGUUUCCCGACCUUAGAGAAAUAAUCGCAUUAACAUUCUCGUGAGGUCUUUGAUUGAGAGGAAACUUAGGAUUGACCUCGG